GUGACUUGAUUUCAAGAAUCUAGUAACGAAGAAAAAAAUUGUAUCUUUGGGCUGAUGAGAUCUUUGAUUUUUCGAUUCUGCGAUGGAAAAAUUUAGAAAAAUAAAAGCAGAAAAUUCAACAAAGAUUCACAGUGAUUAUACUGAUUAGUGAUUAGUGGUACAGACAAGAUGUAUUUAUAGGGAAGACGGUGUUUAAAUUCCAAAAUGGGGCUUAAGAUUGAGCGAAAUUACGAGAUGCACCCAUAGGUUUCACAUUUAUAGUUUCUCCCAAAAUCAAAGUUUACAGUGAAAGCUAAGCGAUAAACGAUGGAAGUUACAGCUCGGCACCGAAUCGGAUGCGGGGUCCGCCAUGACAAUGGAGGAUUGACCUGACGCGGUGGGUUGUACGGUUGUCACGAAUGAAAUUGCAGAUCCACCGUUGAUCACGGCCGUCGACGCCGGUCCCACACAAUCUUAACCACACGUUUCGCCAUGAAACGGGUGUGCAGUCUGAUUUUGAAAUGUGGGGGCCUCAAUCAAUAUUUAAAAUGUGUUUAACGAUUACAGUCAUAAAGUAUG
rnacentral:lncRNA from 1 species